CCCGCACACAGCCGGCAGCGGCUGCGCGCGCUGCCCCUUCAACGGUGCCUGAUGGAGCGGCGGCGGGCCCGGUGCUCCUGUCUGCCUGUGUCCCACAGGGAUGAGCUUCGCCUCCAGAAACCUGUCCUGCGAGGCAGAAGUUACCUCGGCCUUCUAGUUUCGUGUCCCGUCCUUCAAACUGCGUGUACUUGAACUGGAAGCAAAGAAGCCCAGCGUUUCUCUGGCGUCACAAAGCACUUGGUGCAGUCGGGCGCGAUGGUUGCUCACACUGGGCAGUCACAAAACCACGGUUCGGGGAUGUGGAUAACCUGUGCAGCAGGGUGCUUUUAAACUCUCGAAUAUCAUCUAAAGUGUGCUAAGAAACUGAAGCGACAGACACUUUAGAAAUAUAUGCAAUAGAUUUGACUGGAAGUGCUUGUGAAAAUUGGAAAAUAGUGGCCUGAACAGUAAUCAGCUUCUCAAGGGAGAAAUAAAUCAAUUGUAUGAUUUUGUGCUGAAAUAAUCUUGAGCAGCUUUUCUACUGAGUCCCACAGUGACUCGCCCCGGGCUGGCUAGACGUUCCCGCUCCGCGUGCGUGCGUGCAGGGGUGAAAGAGCUUUCUGUUCUCCCAGCUUCUGCUCUGGGCUCCAGCAUGGGGAGAGGAAGCUCGCUGUCACUGGAGGCCUGGACCUUAUUUGGAGAGAUUGAAGGAGUGGAGAGAUUGAAGAGCACCAAAAUGUGGCAAUACAGAAGAGAAAGUUGCCUGCAGCUGGUUUCCUGCCUUCAGCACAGGCACAGAUGGUGAGUCCCCAGCACCUGUCAGCAGUGCUGGUGCUCCAUCGUGGCAUCACUGCUCUGAGCUGUGGUAUCUGGAGAGAGGGAAAAUCCCAUGGGAGGGGGGCACACGUUUCUUGCUGCUUCAUAGUCCCAGAGCUCACCUUCAGCAUCCUUGGACCGUUCUCUUUUCAUUUACUAGUUUUAAUUCUGUGGACACAGCAGUGAAAAAAGUGUGUAAUAUCAGUGACAAAAAAGAGGGAAAGGACCAUGAAGCUGUUAAUAUUCUAUAAAUGGAUGAUAAAUAAUGCUCAGCUUUCUUUGUAAAACCUGACAUGCCCAAUAUCUACUUAAAUUCCACUCCCUGGGAUAAAUGUUUAGAAUAGAACAAAGGAAGAAGGGAAAGUUAAGUUGCCUCUUGCUGUCAAGAAUGUUAUGAUAACUCAUUGGCUAGUGUUAUUGAGAUAUAAGAGGAUAGGAAGUAUCUGCACAUGUUUUUAUUUACUUUAUGUACAUACGGAAAUCCUGUAACAAUUUUUUUGGGCUUUAUUGUAUGGUGUUCUCUUGCAAUUUUACAGCCAUGACUGAGAAUCUAAGCUCCCUGCCAUUGCAGCUGAAGAGGCAUGGGCUUUUUUGUGUGCUUGUUUUGGGGGGACUUGCUAUCAGUCUGAUUUCUGUUAAAGGGUGCUUAAUAAAAAUAUAAUUGCAGAGGAAAUGGUGCUAAUUAGCAUAUAUGUACUCCCACAAAGUGUAGCUUGUUCCCAUUCAUUAUGGACAAGAGUGUGAACUGGAUCUCUUACAGCCAUCUUAGAAACACUCCCAAUGCCAGAGCUCUCCUGGGACCUUGUGGCCAUCUGCAAGCAAAGGAAAAGUCUUUGGCAUCUUCUGUGGUAUAGAUUUAUUCUUAUAUUUUGAUCUGGCAAGCACACACGGUUCUUGCAUGUUCCCUGUGGCCCAAGUAUUGGAUGUCGGUGACGUAAAUGACUUUGCAUUUUCCUUUUAUGACAGAGGAGUUGCAUCCCACAUUAACAAGACUUAAGUACAUCUGUGCACUGUUACUGAUUAUAUAUGUUUCCUGGCUUAUAUAUAGGCAAAACAUAUGAAGAAACCAUUUCAUUCAGAAGUCAAAGCUUUGCAGUUGACUAUCUGGAUUUGGGCACCAGUGCUGCCAACGUGCUGCUCAACACAGAUGUCCACGUGUGGAGUGGGAAGAGAUGCCAGCCAUGGUGAAAUGCUCCGGAGCAGUGCAUGUGGAUCCUGGC